AAAAAUUGACCAAAAUCUAGAUUAUAAUCAAAAACGAAUGCCAAAAAAUCUUUGUUCUGCCAAACUAUUCAAUCGAUUUACACCUUUUGGUUGGAAAACAUUUAUGAUUAUCGAUAAUAAUGAUACAAAAAUUUAUGAACUAGAACAUGUAAAUAAUAUCGAUCAUGAUCGUAAAGUUUUUGUUGAUAUACUGAAAACAAUAGAUACAUCAUCAUCGCCAUGGUCAUCAUCAUCGAAUAAUAAUAAUGACAAUAAAAAAUUAUGGCAACAAUUUCCAAUACAUAAAGCAUCAUUUUUGAAUCAUUCCAAACAAAUUGAUAAUGAAUUCAAAUUGUAUGAAGAAUCUGAUCCAUUAUUAAUAACAAUGGCAUUACGUAAUAAUAAUAAUAAUAAUGGUGAAUAUGAUUCGGCCAAAAACACACAACAAUUCAUGGAUAGAUUUUUGAAUAUUCUUGAAAGAUUUUAUCAUAUAACUUAUACAAGAAGAAUAUUAUUGAUAGAAAAACAGAAUAAGGAAAAAAAAUCAUCAUUAAUACUUAAACAUAAUAUUUAUAAUGAUUUACAAGAACAAUAUAAAAUGGAAAAAUAUAAUCAUCAUCAUCAUUAUGGUUGUAAAUUUAAUUACCACAAAUUGUUGUAAUCAUAAAUCAGCUUAAAUUGUUUCGUAUUUUUAUUUUUCACCAAUUUCAACGAAAUUGUUUUUUUUCCAUUUGACAUACAACAACAACAACAACAACGACGACAUGGAACGACAAAUAUCGGGAUUUAUUUGUAAAAAAUAUACAAUCAUUGUGAUGACAUUGAUUUUUAUGUUAAUGGCUUUGAUAUCAUUCAUCAGUAUCUGUUUGGAUGUAGAUAAAUAUGCUCAAAUAACACAUGAAAAAAAUCCAGAAAUUUCUCCCAAUGAAGCAAAGACUGCAACUAUGGCCAUCGGUGUAGUCAUUUUCAUCAUUUCAUUGACAUUUUCAUCAAUCGGUUUAUUUGGUGCUAUCAAAGAAAAUUAUUGCCUAUCCAUUACAUAUUCAUUAUUAUGGCUUAUUGAAUUGAUUAAUUCGUUGGUGAAAACAAUCGCAUCACCAAUACAUUCAUUGGGUCUCAUAAUCAAUCUGAUUAUUUUUGCUGUAUUGAUUCUAUUCAUAAUCGAUUUGCGUCAAAAACGUCAAACAUCACAAUCGCCAUCACCAUCAUUAUCACCACCACCACCGUUAACAACAACAACAACAGCAACAACAGCCGCUAAUAAUGAUUCUAAUACAACUACUACUAAUAGUUCAAUAAUCAAAACUGUUUAGCUUUAAAGAUAUAUAAUUUACUUUACACUUUUUUUGAUUUUAAUUUUCAUUUUUGUAAUUAAGUUUUCAAUAUAUAUAUGUAUAUGAUGACUCAUUAAAAUUGUGUUUGAUUUAA